GGCAUGAAGUAUCAUGCAAGCCCUGUACUGAGAUUCUUACCUGUGCAACCUUGGACAAAGCUCUCAACCUCUCUGUUUCCUCGUGGAUUUUUUUCCAGUGGGGCUAAUCACAUCACCCGGGGAAGUUAUAAGGAUCCAAUCAGACAAAUGUGUGGAAGAACGUGGCAUGCAGGGAAGAGACGUGCAAGGGAGAAAGGGUGUCAUUCCCACGCAUGACCCAUCCUCCCAGGGUCCUCCUCCAGGGUCUGCAUUGCCAGGGGCCCCUCCCUGAGGCAGGCUACCAUCGCCCCCUCCCGGGACCGGGUGACAUUUGACAGUGAGUCAGAUGGCCUCCUCCUCCUCCAGAGCGGCAAUGCCCUUUGCGUUCGCCCAGGCGGCCUUGGCCAGCUCCUGGGAACGCUACUGCGUGAUGUCGUGAGUGUCUCCAAGGCGCACGGCCUGUUUCAAGUUCCGCACCUGGGACUCCGGCAGGUACGCUCUGAAUGUGCCACUAUCUCCCGGACUGAAAAUGAAUGAUUUGCCUUAAGGACAGAACGACUUGUUGGAAAUUGCUUGGGCAAAGGAGGAGGCCUGGAAUUAGAACCCGAAUUCUAAUUAGUCAGUUGCUCACAUUCUCUGCGCCUCAGGUUCCUGAGCAGUAAAGUGGGGGUAAUAAUUCUUACCUCCCGGGACAGUUGCGACCAGGAAGUGGAAGGUGAAAUGUACAAGCACCCGCCACGCUGCCUGGCACAAAGUGGGUGCCCAACAGACAUGUUCCCUUCUGUCAAGAGUGUGAGGGAGCGUAAUCGGGAGAGGCAGGCUUACUUGUCCGCAGCUCGGUGACACUUACUCCAGAAGAGCCGUCCCACUGGCGCACGAAGAGCCAACAUGAGCAAGUCGUGCCCCGGCGUGCAGCUGCCGUCUUCUUGCUGGUCAUCUCAAAAACGCCACCACUCUCGGGAGGCCCUCCGCCCUUCUCCCUGGGGUAUGAGCCUCCUAGGGGCUACCAGAACGACCUAUUAACCGGGGGGGCUUCCAACAACAGACAUUUGUGCUGUCCCAGUUUGGGGAGGUCAGAAGUCUGAGGUCAAGGCCGCAUCGCUCCGCGGGAGAAUGUGUUCCCCGCCUCCCUCCCAGGCCCUCACGCGCAGCGCCAGUCAGUCCUCGGUGUCCCCAGGCUGGUCGCUGCAUCGCUGUCACCUCACUCCAACGACACGGGUCCUCUCCUCUCCUCAAGGACACCUGUCAUUGGAUUCAGGGUCCCCCCUCAUCCACUAUGACCUCAUCCUCACUAAGUACAUCUGCAAAGACUCUCUUUCCACAGAAGGCCACAUUCUGAGGCUCCGGUGGACGUGAAUUUGGGGGGAAGCGCUCUUGGAACCCCCCCAUACCAAUCAUUGGCGGGAGAGGAACGAAUCAAACGGGAUGUACUAUUUCCUGUGACAGAGGAGGGAUGCUUAAGAAACAGUGGACUGGUCAGUGGGAGCUGAUCUACCAGGCUGGACUAAAAGUCACUGUCACGAGUUGGGAGAUCGCCCAGUGGCUCUGGGGCUGCCGAAUCCCUGGGACCCAAAGUCAAUGGAGACCCAACACUGUCCCCCGAGCGGCACCAGCGUUGACAGGCCCUGCCUUGCUGGGACCUCUGCCCUUCAUGAUCCACUGGGGCUGUCCCCACUGAUUCAGUUAGCCUGCCGCUUGUCACAUUUCCACUCCUGUUUGUGGAUGAUGAUCUAUGUCGUUGGAGCGCCUGGAAAAUGGAGGAGAUUACUUGG